UGGGAGGGUGAUACUCAGGCAGGGGUCAGUUUUGUCCUGCCUGUCACAAAUCCUCCCUAGAGCAUCCUUGCCUUUUGAUGACCGGGGCGAAUUGAGAGAAAUCGCAACGGACAGAUACGGGGCAGACACCU